CCGACCUGCACGAAUGGCGUAACGACUUCCGCACUGUCUCAACCAGAGACUCAGCGAAAUUGUAUUGGCGGUGAAGAUGCCGUCUACCCGCGACAAGACGGAAAGACCCCGUGCACCUUUACUACAGCUUGACAUUGGACUUUGGGGCAGCAUGUGUAGGAUAGGUGGGAGGCUUUGAAGCUGGAACGCUAGUUUCGGUGGAGCCAACCUUGAAAUACCACCCUUGUUGUUUUGGAGUUCUAAUUUCGACCCUUGAAGCAGGGCGAAAGACAGUGUCUGGUGGGUAGUUUGACUGGGGCGGUCGCCUCCUAAAGAGUAACGGAGGCGCGCGAAGGUUCCCUCAGGUUGAUUGGAAACCAACCGUGGAGUGUAAAGGCAUAAGGGAGCUUGACUGCGAGAGAGACAUCUCGAGCAGGUACGAAAGUAGGUCUUAGUGAUCCGGCGGUUCCGCAUGGAAGGGCCGUCGCUCAACGGAUAAAAGGUACGCCGGGGAUAACAGGCUUAUCGCCCCCAAGAGUUCACAUCGACGGGGCGGUUUGGCACCUCGAUGUCGGCUCAUCGCAUCCUGGGGCUGGAGCAGGUCCCAAGGGUUUGGCUGUUCGCCAAUUAAAGCGGUACGUGAGCUGGGUUUAAAACGUCGUGAGACAGUUUGGUCCCUAUCUGUCGUGGGCGCAGGAUAUUUGAAAGGAUCUGUCCCUAGUACGAGAGGACCGGGAUGGACAAACCUCUGGUGGUCCAGUUGUCACGCCAGUGGCAUAGCUGGGUAGCUAAGUUUGGAAUGGAUAACCGCUGAAAGCAUCUAAGCGGGAAGCCAACCUUGAGAUUAGAUAUCCCUUUCCCGUGGAAACACGGGAAACUAAAGACCCCUUGUAGACUACAAGGUUGAUAGGCCAGGUGUGUAAGUUCAGUGAUGGAUUCAGCUAACUGGUACUAAUCGGUCGUGCGGCUUGACCAU
rnacentral:rRNA from 1 species